UACAGAGGGGGCAAGCGUUGUUCGGAAUUACUGGGCGUAAAGGGCGCGUAGGCGGCCUGCUAAGUCGAACGUGAAAUCCCUGGGCUCAACCCAGGAACUGCGUCCGAUACUGGUUGGCUUGAAUCCGGGAGAGGGAUGUAGAAUUCCAGGUGUAGCGGUGAAAUGCGUAGAUAUCUGGAGGAAUACCGGUGGCGAAGGCGGCAUCCUGGACCGAAACUGACGCUGAGGCGCGAAAGCUAGGGGAGCAAACGGG
rnacentral:rRNA from 1 species